AAUUAUGCCCAAAAUGAUUAGAGUAUGCCCCAAGGGAGUGAAAAAUGAGACAAUUUUUUAGACCUGUUUUUGGAAGAAGUUUCUGGCAGCUUAGAAAUAAUGAUUUCAUAAAUAAAAACAUGAUCUAUAACCAUAUAGCUAUGCGGACAUAUUUAGACAUAUAAGAUCAGAGACACAACUUCAAAAUUUUUCAAAGCUGUUAUCUCCAAAAAGGAGUACUAAAUCAAUAAAAGAACACAGAGAGGUCAUAGUUUACUGAUUAUGACAAGAAAUCUAUGGCGAGAACUCAGGAAAUAGGGGUAUGAAGAAAAUAGAAUUAAAAUGAUUGAAGUUAUGCUAAUAAUUGCAUUUUUGUGUAUUUCUUUCCAGCUUUUGCAUUUCUAUACGUAAGUAUGGAAUGCUGGAAGUCACAAACCUAAAGCUUCUCAAUGUGUUUUGUGUGGUCUACACAGUGUGUGUACACUGUGUGAGUGCGCAUAAUCUUAAAUCAAAUAAAGCGCAAGACCUGACAGUAGGCUCCACUCUGCCAUGGCAAGAACAGAUUGGGUGAGACUCCUACCCUCAGCGGUUUCCUCGCUCCAGCUAGCCACACUCCCCUCUCUGCGCGCUCUUCCUUAAUGGGUGCAGAAUUUCCAUCACCUGUAAUUACACGUUCUUACAGCAGAGGUGUAUCUUCCUGUGCUUUGUCUCCAACAAGUGUGAGAAAACAGAAACACCGGUGGUGAGGGGAGGAAACAGAAUUGCAAAAUAGGAAGUUAGACCAAGAAGGCUGAAGGUUUCUAGAAGCUCUGGCGAAAGAAAGAUUGUUGCAUUUUCACAGAGGUCUUCCUGGUCAGCUUUAUUCACUAUGAUCCCUCUGCGAACUGUGGGCAAUUGCGUUUACCGUCUCGGGGGGCAAAACAAAGUAUUGAUACUACAUUAUAUAGAACAUGUUAUGCCCUCCUUUUUUCUCUUACUAUAUUUUGACAAUUUUUCAAAGGCAUUCCGCUAAAACAUGGUUUUAAUGGCUUCAUAAUCUACCAGCUUAUAGUUUUAACAUUGCAUGCAUAUGUAUUUUUAGUCCACCUUAAAUCAUUGGACAUUUAGGUUACCUCCAAGAGCUCAUUAAUAUAAUUAGUACUACAAGGAAUAUCCUUCCACAUAAAUCUUAAAAAUAACAUUUAGAAGUGAAGUUCCUGAGUCAAGUGGUAGGAAUAUAUUUUUAAUUUUCGACGCAGAAUUCCAAAUUGCUUUCUGGACAACAAUUUAAGCAUUCACCAGCCAUGUGAGUGGGCCCAUUAAAAUUGUACUUAUUCAGCCAUUACACAUAUAGUCAUUCAAAAGCAUUCACCAAUUUGAUGAGUAAAACACUGUAUUUCAUUUUGCCUCAUAUUUCUUUGAUUCCUACAAAGAUUUUAUAUACCUAUUUUCAUUUGAAUUCCUUCUUCUGCACAUUUUCUGGUUUGGGCAUUUGCCCACAUUCUACAAUGAUUGUAUCUAUAGAGUUUUGCUGUUUCUGAUACAAAUAUAUUUCUCAUCUUUCAUAUUCUAAUGUUAUAUAUGAUGUUUUAGACAAAUGGAUUUUUAUGGACUCAAACAUGCAAAACUUUUAUUCAUAUUUUUAAAGAUUGCUCACUUAAAAUUUUCCUUUAUGAUUGCUUUUACUUGAAAACAGAGAAAUGAUCAAAAUAAAGAUUUGCCUCCCCACAGUUUUCCUCUAAUUUUCUACGACUUCACUUUUUAUAUUUAGUUCUUCAAUCUGUCUGGUAUUUAUUUUGGUUUCUGAUAUGAAUGGAGGGUCUAAUAUUUUUACCUCCAUAGUGUUCCCACAAUUUUUUUCAAAUGACAAUUCCCCUGUUAUGUUUUCAUCAUCAUCUGUUAGUUUUUCUAUUCCAGGAAUGGUAUAAACACUGUGGGGGCCAUAUUCUGUUCCAGUGAUGCCUUCGUUAAGUUUUGAGGCCAACAGGAUUCUACUCUAAUUGUUGUCUGGAUACAUCUUCUUUCCUCCCUAUUUUUUUCCCUUUUGGGAAUAUCUCCUUCAUAAUUGUACUUACAUACGUGUAGGUUUUGAUUUAAAUAUGGCAAAUCAAUACCCCUCUGGACUCUGGAAAUGCUUAUAAGGUUCUGUUGCCUACAGACUCGGAGACCUUUGAUCCUUUCGUAAGCUCUUAUGGAGUAUAUAUAAUGACCCACCUAUAAGUGCUGGAGCUGGGGUUGUUUUCUCCUAGAAAGGACCAAUUUAAGGUGAAUAUUUGCAAAGGAAAGUAUGUAAAGGCAACUGAGUGGUCCUCACAUUACUGUAGUUAUCUUACUUAGAAAGGAUACUGAGAGAAGUUGUUUUUUUAAAAGGAGACGAAUGGAUAUUCGGUGAAUCUUCAGUGAUCUGAGUAUAAAUCUAUGGUUUCUCCUCUGUGCCUUGAUCUAUAAAUCUAAUAUGUUCAUGAGAACGUUUUAUGUAAAUCAGAAUGCUCAUUAAUUUAAUUGUCCAGUUGAAUGCUCAUUAAUUUAAUUGUCCAGUAGAAUUACCUUUAUGAUUUGCACAGUGCUUUGCCCUUCUUUCUGCUUGUCCAUUAAAAGAUACCCUCUAGGAAUUCCUGUUGUGGCUCAGCGGGUUAAGGACCCAGCGUUGUCUCAGUGAGGAUGCAGGUUUGAUCCCUGGCCUCACUCAGUAGGUUAGGGAUCUGGCACAUUGCCAUAAGCUGCAGUGCUCAGGUCACAGAUGUAGCUUGGAUCUGGUCUUGCCAUGGUUGUGGCAUAGGCCUCAGCUGCAUCUCUUAUUCGACCCCUAGCCUGGGAACGUCCAUGUGCUGCAGGUGCCACACUAAAAUGAGGGGAAAAAAAAAAGAUGCCCGUUAGGUUUGGAAUGAGAGUAUGACCUAAAACCAGACUACCUGGUUUCAAAUCUUGCCUCUGCCACCUACUUGCUACUAUAAUCAUUUCCUUCUCUGAGCUUUAGUUUCCUCAUCUAUACAAUGAAGAUAAAAAUGGAGUUUGCCUCACAGGUUGACAUGAGGCUUUAGUGGGCUAAUUUUUGGAAAGCCUUUAGAACAGGGCCUGGGACAUCGUAAGUGCUAUGGGUUCAUUAAAUUGACAUUCUCUCCCAUUUCUACUCCUAGGCUCUUCGACUUCUAACUCUGUCAACUGUUUGAUGAUUAAAACCACUGCCCAAGUACACUAGCAGAAAUUAACUAUAUUAGGAACUCUCCAAAAUAUGUUAUAAUCUAAAUGAUCUUUUAGGGAGUACAUUUGGGAUUUUCCUAUACUGAGAUAUCUUAAAUUGUGGUAAAUUGGCAGCUGUGUUUUGUUUUCCUUCCUCUCAUGUAGAAUAAAAUAAGAAUCAGAGGAACCAAUUGGAAAUGUGUCGCAGGCAAUGACUAAUUUCCUAACUGGCCAGUCAACAAAGAAUUAUUUUCAUUGAACUGAAAGUCCCACUACUUAAAAGUGUGAAUGCAAUUAUAACUGACUUUUUAAAAUUUCUCCUCCCAUGGUGACUUUAAGAAUGUUUGGCAUCAGGUGGUUCUUGACUUCAUUGACUUUAAUGUUUCGUGUUUCACUAGAAUGGUUUUUUAUCUUUUCAUCAACCAUAUACAUGGAUAUAAUUUCUAUUUGCCUUAGAUCACACAUGGCUCUGUUCAACACAGAUCCUAAAACUAUUCUUUAAAAUUUUGCUUUGUUGUUACUGUUGAAUACUUUCCACCAGUAUUCCUCAGAUUACGGAAAGUAGACCAGUGAAGGGUUCCUUCUAUGGCACAGGAGGUUAAGGAUCCACUGGUUGCUUCAGAGACUCAGAUUCAAUCCCUGGCCCAGGAACUUCCAUAGGUUUGGGUGUGGCCAUUAAAAAAAAAAAAAAAAGUAGACGAAUGCAGCUCUGUGGAUUGUUUGUUUACAGCAAUUAAGAAUAAGCAUUUGGACUUGCACAGCAAUUGUACAGAGUAAUUUUAUAUCUAUUAAUCCAGCAAUC
rnacentral:lncRNA from 1 species